rnacentral:rRNA from 1 species
GACGAACGCUGGCGGCGUGCUUAACACAUGCAAGUCGAACGGAAAGGCCCUGCUUUUGUGGGGUGCUCGAGUGGCGAACGGGUGAGUAACACGUGAGUAACCUGCCCUUGACUUUGGGAUAACUUCAGGAAACUGGGGCUAAUACCGGAUAGGAGCUCCUGCUGCAUGGUGGGGGUUGGAAAGUUUCGGCGGUUGGGGAUGGACUCGCGGCUUAUCAGCUUGUUGGUGGGGUAGUGGCUUACCAAGGCUUUGACGGGUAGCCGGCCUGAGAGGGUGACCGGCCACAUUGGGACUGAGAUACGGCCCAGACUCCUACGGGAGGCAGCAGUGGGGAAUAUUGCACAAUGGGCGGAAGCCUGAUGCAGCAACGCCGCGUGCGGGAUAACGGCCUUCGGGUUGUAAACCGCUUUCGCCUGUGACGAAGCGUGAGUGACGGUAAUGGGUAAAGAAGCUCCGGCUAACUACGUG